rnacentral:tRNA from 1 species
GGAGAGGUGGGUGAGUGGCUGAAACCACCGGUUUGCUAAACCGGCGUACGUCGAACAGGCGUACCGAGGGUUCGAAUCCCUCCCUCUCCG